AUUGAACGCUGGCGGCAGGCUUAACACAUGCAAGUCGAGCGGCGGAAGUUGCUUCGGUAAUUGACCUAGCGGCGGACGGGUGAGUAAUACUUAGGAAUCUGCCUAUUAAUGGGGGACAACAUCUCGAAAGGGAUGCUAAUACCGCAUACGCCCUACGGGGGAAAGCAGGGGAUCACUUGUGACCUUGCGUUAAUAGAUAAGCCUAAGUCGGAUUAGCUAGUUGGUGGGGUAAAGGCCUACCAAGGCGACGAUCUGUAGCGGGUCUGAGAGGAUGAUCCGCCACACUGGGACUGAGACGCGGCCCAGACUACUACGGGAGGCAGCAGUGGGGAAUAUUGGACAAUGGGGGGAACCCUGAUCCAGCCGUGCCGCGUGUGUGAAGAAGGCCUUAUGGUUGUAAAGCACUUUAAGCGAGGAGGAGGCUCUUUUGGUUAAUACCCAAGAUGAGUGGACGUUACUCGCAGAAUAAGCACCGGCUAACUCUGUGCCAGCCGCCGCAGUAAAAC
rnacentral:rRNA from 1 species